rnacentral:rRNA from 1 species
ACGGCAGCAGCGGGCUUCGGCCUGGCGGCGAGUGGCGAACGGGUGAGUAAUACAUCGGAACGUGCCCUGUUGUGGGGGAUAACUAGUCGAAAGAUUAGCUAAUACCGCAUACGACCUGAGGGUGAAAGCGGGGGACCGUAAGGCCUCGCGCAAUAGGAGCGGCCGAUGUCUGAUUAGCUAGUUGGUGGGGUAAAGGCCUACCAAGGCGACGAUCAGUAGCUGGUCUGAGAGGACGAUCAGCCACACUGGGACUGAGACACGGCCCAGACUCCUACGGGAGGCAGCAGUGGGGAAUUUUGGACAAUGGGGGCAACCCUGAUCCAGCAAUGCCGCGUGUGUGAAGAAGGCCUUCGGGUUGUAAGCACUUUUGUCCGGAAGAAAUCGCGCUGGCUAAUACCUGGCGUGGAUGACGGUACCGGAAGAAUAAGCACCGGCUAACUACGUGCCAGCCAGCCGCGGUAA